CUACUUGCCGCUGUUUGUCCAACACCUCUUGGUACCGUUCCUUUAACAAAGCCCUCUCAGACAUCAUUUUGUCCAGGUUCUUCUCAAUGUCCUGAUCUGUGUUCACAUCCGUGUCGGCCGUCUUGAAGUCGGUCUGCACCGCGAUGUUCUGGGAGGGCUUCACGGGCGCCGCCUCCGGGUCGUGCUCCUCCGCCGCCCCCUCGCUCUGCCCCGCGGCCUCCGCGCCGCCGCCCGGGCCGGGCUCCCCCUCGCCUUCCGCCGCCGGGGCCUCACCGGGGAGGGCCGCGGGCUCCGCCUCUCCGCCAGGCGCCGCCUCGCCGGGGCUCUCCGGGGCGGAGAGGCUGGCGGGCGGCGCGGCGGCGGGGCCCUCGGCCUGCGCCUGCUCCAGCGCCAUGGCGGUCCCUCCGGAGGCUGCGGCUG
rnacentral:lncRNA from 1 species